rnacentral:rRNA from 1 species
AGGAGGAAGAGGUUUGUAUGGUGGCCGCCGGUGAAGAGCGCGCACCGCCCGCGCAGCUGCAGCAACGGCGGCCACGUGAAGGUGAAGAUGGAAGGGGUGCCCAUUGGGAAGAAGGUGGACCUGUCCCGCCACGCCUCCUACCACCAGCUCCAAGACACGCUCCGCCUAAUGUUCCCCUCCUCCGCUCACCAAGGUGAUCCGUACCCCGUCAUCUACGAGGACGGCGACGGGGACUGGAUGCUCGUCGGAGACGUCCCGUGGGAGGAGUUUAGCAAGUCCGCCAAACGGCUCAACAUCCUCAUG